UAGUAGCUCCGGCUCGCUGGAAUCGAUUCCCUAGUCGGCUCUCUCCUUCCUAAGUCACGCGUUCCCCUCUCGAGGUCUACUCUAGACUAGCAGGGUGGACUAUAGCUGAGUGACAGGUGGACUCCUCUAGACUCUAGACUAGCAGGGUGGACUAUAGCUGAGUGAGAGGUGGACUCCUCUAGACUCUAGACCAGCAGGGUGGACUAUAGCUGAGUGACAGGUGGACUCCUCUAGACUAGCAGGGUGGACUAUAGGUGAGUGAGAGGUGGACUCCUCUAGACUCUAGACUAGCAGGGUGGACUAUAGCUGAGUGACAGGUGGACUCCUCUAGACUCUAGACUAGCAGGGUGGACUAUAGGUGAGUGACAGGUGGACUCCUCUAGACUCUAGACUAGCAGGUUGGACUAUAGGUGAGUGAGAGGUCGACUCCUCUAGACUCUAGACUAGCAGGGUGGACUAUAGGCGAGUGAGAGGUGGACUCCUCUAGACUCUAGACCAGCAGGGUGGACUAUAGGCGAGUGACAGGUGGACUCCUCUAGACUCUAGACUAGCAGGGUGGACUAUAGCUGAGUGACAGGUGGACUCCUCUAGACUCUAGACCAGCAGGGUGAACUAUAGCUGAGUGACAGGUGGACUCCUCUAGACUCUAAACUAGCAGGGUGGACUAUAGCUGAGUGACAGGUGGACUCCUCUAGACUAGCAGGGUGGACUAUAGGUGAGUGAGAGGUGGACUCCUCUAGACUCUAGACCAGCAGGGUGAACUAUAGCUGAGUGACAGGUGGACUCCUCUAGACUCUAAACCAGCAGGGUGGACUAUAGCUGAGUGACAGGUGGACUCCUCUAGACUCUAGACUAGCAGGGUGGACUAUAGCUGAGUGACAGGUGGACUCCUCUAGACUCUAGACUAUCAGGAUGGACUAUAGGUGAGUGAGAGGUGGACUCCUCUAGACUCUAGACCAGCAGGGUGGACUAUAGCUGAGUGAGAGGUGGACUCCUCUAGACUCUAGACCAGCAGGGUGGACUAUAGCUGAGUGACAGGUGGACUCCUCUAGACUCUAGACUAGCAGGGUGGACUAUAGCUGAGUGACAGGUGGACUCCUCUAGACUCUGGACCUGCAGGGUGGACUAUAGCUGAGUGAGAGGUGGACUCCUCUAGACUCUAGACCAGCAGGGUGGACUAUAGGCGAGUGAGAGGUGGACUCCUCUAGACUCUAGACUAUCAGGGUGGACUAUAGGUGAGUGAGAGGUGGACUCCUCUAGACUCUAGACCAGCAGGGUGGACUAUAGCUGAGUGAGAGGUGGACUCCUCUAGACUCUAGACCAGCAGAGUGGACUAUAGCUGAGUGACAGGUGGACUCCUCUAGACUCUAGACUAGCAGGGUGGACUAUAGCUGAGUGACAGGUGGACUCCUCUAGACUCUAGACCUGCAGGGUGGACUAUAGCUGAGUGAGAGGUGGACUCCUCUAGACUCUAGACCAGCAGGGUGGACUAUAGCUGAGUGAGAGGUGGACUCCUCUAGACUCUAGACCAGCAGGGUGGACUAUAGGUGAGUGACAGGUGGACUCCUCUAGACUCUAGACUAGCAGGGUGGACUAUAGGUGAGUGACAGGUGGACUCCUCUAGACUCUAGACCAGCAGGGUGGACUAUAGCUGAGUGACAGGUGGACUCCUCUAGACUCUAGACCAGCAGGGUGGACUAUAGCUGAGUGACAGGUGGACUCCUCUAGACUCUAGACUCGCAGGGUGGACUAUAGCUGAGUGACAGGUGGACUCCUCUAGACUCUAGACCUGCAGGGUGGACUAUAGCUGAGUGACAGGUGGACUCCUCUAGACUCUAGACUAUCAGGGUGGACUAUAGGUGAGUGAGAGGUGGACUCCUCUAGACUCUAGACCAGCAGGGUGGACUAUAGCUGAGUGAGAGGUGGACUCCUCUAGACUCUAGACCAGCAGGGUGGACUAUAGCUGAGUGACAGGUGGACUCCUCUAGACUCUAGACUAGCAGGGUGGACUAUAGCUGAGUGACAGGUGGACUCCUCUAGACUCUGGACCUGCAGGGUGGACUAUAGCUGAGUGAGAGGUGGACUCCUCUAGACUCUAGACCAGCAGGGUGGACUAUAGCUGAGUGAGAGGUGGACUCCUCUAGACUCUAGACCAGCAGGGUGGACUAUAGGUGAGUGACAGGUGGACUCCUCUAGACUCUAGACUAGCAGGGUGGACUAUAGGUGAGUGACAGGUGAACUCCUCUAGACUCUAGACCAGCAGGGUGGACUAUAGCUGAGUGACAGGUGGACUCCUCUAGACUCUAGACUAGCAGGGUGGACUAUAGGCGAGUGAGAGGUGGACUCCUCUAGACUCUAGACUAGCAGGGUGGACUAUAGGCGAGUGACAGGUGGACUCCUCUAGACUCUAGACCAGCAGGGUGGACUAUAGGCGAGUGACAGGUGGACUCCUCUAGACUCUAGACUAGCAGGGUGGACUAUAGGUGAGUGACAGGUGGACUCCUCUAGACUAUAGACUAGCAGGGUGGACUAUAGGUGAGUGAGAGGUGGACUCCUCUAGACUAUAGACCAGCAGGGUGGACUAUAGGUGAGUGAGAGGUCGACUCCUCUAGACUCUAGACCAGCAGGGUGGACUAUAGGUCAGUGACAGGUGGACUCUAGACCAGCAGGGUGGACUAUAGGUGAGUGACAGGUGGACUCUAGACCAGCAGGGUGGACUAUAGGUGAGUGAGAGGUGGACUCCUCUAGACUAUAGACUAGCAGGGUGGACUAUAGGUGAGUGAGAGGUCGACUCCUCUAGACUCUAGACUCUAGACCAGCAGGGUGGACUAUAGGUCAGUGACAGGUGGACUCUAGACCAGCAGGGUGGACUAUAGGUGAGUGACAGGUGGACUCUAGACCAGCAGGGUGGACUAUAGGUGAGUGAGAGGUCGACUCUAGGGUGGACCUCUAGCGAUGGACAACUUGAGGAGGACUCUGCUGGGCCGUGACGAGGCGGCUGAGGAGGAUGGACUCCUGGCCGGGGUUCGUGACGCGACUAGGUCCACUCAGCCAGAAACCAAAAAACACUCGCCCAGUCGCUCACCCGCUUAGUCACUCGCUUAGUCACUCGCUUAGUCACCCGCUUUGUCACUCACCCGCUCAGUCACUCAC